AAUCCACUUCGAGUGUAAACUACACGAGCCAAUGCACAUUGGCAUGCAAUGAUUGCAUUCAGCUGCCUCUGAUCGUAGCGUGAGUAUAACUAGGUAACAGGUGCAACGCAUACUCAUGUUUUCGCUGAGGAGCCUAGCCGGUGAACUGGAAGGUCAGUCACUGUUGUCGUAUCACUUCCCACUCAGUAAGAUUAGAUAACACUGGGAAAACGUACCCGUUUCACUUGGAGACGGUUCAAGGAAAGGCUUACUGCUAACACUAGGCAGUUGAUGUGCCAGUGCAGUUGGGCGCCCAUCCAAACCCCUGACACUGCAUGCCUGUCAUACGUGGCCUGUGGCAUGGAAGGGUCGAAACAUGUAAGUACACAUCCUUCAGGUCGAUCACUGCAAACCAAUCUUGGGUACGGAAACACCCGAAGAUGCGCUUCUGCAUGAGCAUCUUGAACGGUAGCUUGUGAAGGGCCCAAUUCAAAAUGUGCAGAUCCCAGAUUCGUCAUAACCCAAUGCUUUUCUUGGGUACAAAGAAGUAAGGGCUGUAAAACCCUUUCUUCAUAUCGGCUGGAGGGGCUCUAUCACAUCCUUCACCAGUAGGACUGCGAUCUCUGCAUGCAAGACAGGGACAUCUGCAGCCUUCACUGAAGUGAAGUGGACGCCCCUGAACUUGGAAGGAUGCUGGGCGAACUGAAUCGCAUAGCUGAGUCUGAUGGUCUGAGGGAGCCAGCGAGACGAACUGGGGAGCAUUAGCAAUGCUCCCAGAUAGCGUACAAGUGGCACUAACGUCACCACCGAUUUGCCCGCAGUGGGGCAGCGAAGAGGAAUGCAGGAACCCGGCCUGGGCAUCUUAUAGCCGUGCGAAGCGGGGUCUGCGUGUGUGCAACACUUGCCUGCAUUCAGGCAGAACCUCCCACAGCUGCUCACUGGCGAGAGAGAAGAGUGAGUGUGAUCUGAGACUGGCCCGUCACAACUCCCUGUCCCCUCUGUCAAGGUUUUGGGUACCACUGACCAUGAAGUCAGUGGCGGGAAAAAAGAAACAAACGAUUCUCCAUCCGGCCCUCCUCUGGGGGAGGGAGU
ensembl:lncRNA